GAUGAACGCUAGCGGCAGGCUUAAUACAUGCAAGUCGAGGGGUAGCAAGAUUGUAGCAAUACAAUUGUUGACGACCGGCAAACGGGUGCGGAACACGUACACAACCUUCCCACAAGUGGGGAAUAGCCCAGAGAAAUUUGGAUUAAUACCCCGUAACAUAGCGAUGUGGCAUCACAUUGCUAUUAUAGCUUCGGCGCUUGUUGAUGGGUGUGCGGCUGAUUAGUUAGUUGGCGGGGUAACGGCCCACCAAGUCUACCAUCAGUAGCUGAUGUAACAUCGUCAUCACCGAAACGGGGAGUGAGACACGGGCCCGACUUCUACGGGAGGAGGCAGUAAGGAAUAUUGGACAAUGGACGCAAGUCUGAUCCAGCCAUACCGCGUGAAGGAUUAAGUUCCUCUGGAUUGUAACCUUCUUUUAUAAGGGACAAAAAAAGGUCUUUCUAGCUCGUCUGACGGUACCUGAUGAAUAAGCACCGGCUAACUCCGUGCCAGCAGCCGCCGUAAGAC
rnacentral:rRNA from 1 species